UUAAUUGGAAUGUGUGCAAAGGACUGUGGCUGAUUGGAAGACGUGAAGGAUACACUUGAUGCACCCUUCAAAAUUCGUCAAAUGAAGGACAUGAAACGUAGGCUGCCUUCCAAGUAUCCUUCAAAAUGAGACAGCCUUCAGUGGCACUUGAUGACAUGGCAGCCGAAGUAUGCCGCCUUACUAGGAUGCAGUAUUUCAAGAAGAGUCUAUGUGUCCCAAGUAUAUGUGGCAGCUAUCUGUAUGCCAUGUGGACUUUGAAAUUGGUUUGGUCCUAUAGUCCACCAUGCCACAUAGAAAAUCAUACAACACAGUCUUCAGUGAAGUCACUCCCACAGCAAAUCACCAAUAAAUGCUGGAAGUAUUUCCAUCAAGAGGCCACUGUGGUUCAAGCCAGCAGGAAUCAAGUGUGGUGUAAUAACAAUUUCUGCAUGACGCUGUGGUAAAGAUGGAUCUUGUUGAAGAGAGUGAAGACAUCAGUGAUGCUGAAUCCUGCAAGUUGAAUGAUGGAAGAGGCUGAAGAACAAAGAGAACUGAUGGAAUCGAACAAGGAAUGUCAAGCACAGUAUAAAAAGGAGGAGAAUCAGGAAGAUCCCAAUUCUGUAACUGGAGAAAACUCUUUUAGUGGUUCACACACUUCAGAGGGUUUCUCACAUGAAAGCACAGAAGCCAAAAAUUAUUUUGCAUGCCACCAUGGUGGAAAGACUUUUUCACAAAAAAAGGACACCUGAAGUAUCACAUAAGAAUUCAUACUGGUGAAAGGCCUUACAAGUGCCCUCAGUGUGAAAAGACUUUUACUCAAAAAGGCCACCUUAGGGAUCAUAUAAUAACUCACACUGGUGAGAGGCCAUUCACAUGCCCUCGGUGUGGAAAGGGUUUCAUGAGUAAAGGAAACCUUAAUGUUCACAUUAAAAUUCACACCAGAGAGAGGCCUUUCACUUGUCCGCAGUGUGGAAAGACUUACACGUGUAAAGGACACCUUAAGGAACACAUAGGAACUCACACUGGUGAGAGGCCUUUUACUUGCCCACAAUGUGAAAAGAGUUUCACACGGAAAGCAAACCUUAAAAUUCACAUGAAAACUCACACUAGAGCGAGGCCUUACACAUGCCCUCAGUGUGGAAAGAGUAACACAUCUAAAGGACACCUUAAGGAGCACAUAGGAUCCCACACUGGUGAAAGGCCUUUCGCAUGUCCUCGAUGUGGAAAGUGUUUUACAUGUAAAGGAAGUCUUAAUAUUCACAUAAAAGGUCACACUAGAGAGAGUCCUUACACAUGCUCUCAGUGUGGAAAGUGUUUCCCAACUAAAGGACAUCUUGAUAGUCACAUAAGAAUUCACACUGGAGAGAAGCCGUUCACAUGUCCUCAAUGUGGGAAGAGCUUCACACAACGAGGACAUUUGAAGCAUCACAUAAGAAUUCACACAGGUGAGAGGCCUUUCUCAUGCCAUUUGUGUGGUAAAGGUUUCACUCAGACGCAAAGCCUCAAAUUUCACCUGCAGUUUCACUCUAGAGAAAACAGUGUGGUCAAAACUUUGUUCUGAAGUCAUUGCUGAGAAGACACGUGAGGAUGCAUUCAAACGAGCAGCCUUAUUUGUGAUCUGUUUGUGGGAAGAGUUUUCUAUUUCUUGACUAUUUUAAACAGCACCAGAAAAUACAUAGCAGUGUGAAGUCUCAUGUUUGCUCUGAAUGUGGAAAUUCCUUCGUGAGAGCCAGAGACUUGGAGCGGCACAAAAGAAUCCAUACUGGAGCAAAACCUUUGAAGUGCUCACAUUGUGGAAAGGGUUUCACUGAGUCUAGAAACCUGGUACAACAUGAAAGAGUGCACACUGGAGAGAAGCCGCACCACUGCCUUUCAUGUGGGAGGAGUUUUAGACAAUCACAUAGCCUAUUGGCUCAUGUAGAAAAGCACUGUCCACAAGUGAACACAGCGUCCAACCUUGAGGCUUCAGUUCCAAACACAUUGUGUGAAAUUCAAAAGAACCCGAUGAUAGAAUAUGUCCAACAAUAGUAGGAAUAAGGCCAGUUCACACAAAGACAGUUCAGUGUUAUAAACAUUUUAAUUUGAAUGCACUUAAUGUGUCUGUUUAGACCGAGAUGAACAUAAGCAUGCAGUACAUGCAACAUUUUUUUAGAACUGGUGUAAUCUGUUUUCCAUUGCACUGCGAAGAAAACUGGCCAACCAUUAAGAACUGCACUUUUGGUUACAUGCCCAGAGCCACUGCUGUUACAUAAAACUACUAUUGGUGCCACUUACAAAAAGACUAUUUUGCUAAAUGGUAGUAAAUAGCAGAGAAAGAAUCCGGAACUAGCUCUCUUGUCUCUGUACACUUGUUUUGUUUUUGUUUGAUAAAACUGUAGUGAAUACAAAAGACUGAAAUACUGUUUCAAAACUUCGUUUCUGCUUCAAGACCACCUAAUGUCAGUGAAUUAGCAUUUUCAUUCAGCCUGUAUGCCAUUUAACACAUUAAUCUGCAAAGACAAAUCACAUGUGGAAAA